rnacentral:lncRNA from 1 species
AAAAGCAACAGAACCUCACAGAUGCGUUAUCACUUUAUCUCUCAAGAGUUUAGGGUAAACAAUGUCAACUCAAUGGACUCAAGAAAACAAGUAACAAAUAGACUUGGCAAACCUCUAAUAUGAAAACUCAAAGCAUAUGCAUGUUCAAAUCAAAAGGUCUUUUCAUGGUCGUAAUGGGGCCAAGGACAAGGGAAGACAAGAUAAAGAUGAAAAACUACAAACCAAAAGAAAUAGAGGAGCAAUGGGGAACAAGUGAAAAUACAAUCAAAUCACACCUAAAACCUCUAAUUCAAUUAUCUUCUUAACUCCAAGUAUUCACAAAAAAAAAAUUAUUUUUCUGAUUUUUUUCCUAUCUUUUCUUGUCUUGUCUCUUUUUUUAGAAGAAACCUGUAAGAGACAAGAUACACAACAUAUUUACAAAACAAGCAAGAAGAGGAACAAACUAGUUAAUUCAUAGGAAUCCCACGAAGACCACACUUGUUCCUAAAACAAUUCGAAAGCUCCAAAAUUCCCUAAGGUAAAGGUAAUCAUGGGUUUUCACUUAAGGCUAAUUAAUGAGCUUCAAAAC